GGAUGAGCCCGCGGCCUAUCAGCUUGUUGGUGAGGUAAUGGCUCUCCAAGGCUUCGACGGGUAGCCGGCCUGAGAGGGUGACCGGCCACACUGGGACUGAGACACGGCCCAGACUCCUACGGGAGGCAGCAGUGGGGAAUAUUGGACAAUGGGCGGAAGCCUGAUCCAGCAACGCCGCGUGAGGGAUGACGGCCUUCGGGUUGUAAACCUCUUUCAGCACAGACGAAGCGCAAGUGACGGUAUGUGCAGAAGAAGGACCGGCCAACUACGUGCCAGCAGCCGCGGUAAUACGUAGGGUCCGAGCGUUGUCCGGAAUUAUUGGGCGUAAAGGGCUCGUAGGCGGUUUGUCACGUCGGGAGUGAAAACCAGGUGCUUAACACCUGGCCUGCUUUCGAUACGGGCAGACUAGAGGUACUCAGGGGAGAAUGGAAUUCCUGGUGUAGCGGUGAAAUGCGCAGAUAUCAGGAGGAACACCGGUGGCGAAGGCGGUUCUCUGG
rnacentral:rRNA from 1 species